UCAACUUGAGAGUUUGAUCCUGGCUCAGAACGAACGCUGGCGGCAGGCCUAACACAUGCAAGUCGAGCGAGACCUUCGGGUCUAGCGGCGGACGGGUUAGUAACGCGUGGGAACGUGCCCUUCUCUGCGGAAUAGCCACUGGAAACGGUGAGUAAUACCGCAUACGCCCUUCGGGGGAAAGAUUUAUC
rnacentral:rRNA from 1 species